UACGAAGGGGGGCUAGCGUUGCUCGGAAUCACUGGGCGUAAAGGGUGCGUAGGCGGGUCUUUAAGUCAGGGGUGAAAUCCUGGAGCUCAACUCCAGAACUGCCUUUGAUACUGAGGAUCUUGAGUUCGGGGGAGGUGAGUGGAACUGCGAGUGUAGAGGUGAAAUGCGUAGAUAUUGGGAGGAACACCAGUGGCGAAGGCGGCUCACUGGACCGGUACUGACGCUGAGGCGCGAAAGCGUGGGGAGCAAACGGG
rnacentral:rRNA from 1 species